AACGCUGGCGGCGUGCUUAACACAUGCAAGUCGAACGGUGAUGUCAGAGCUUGCUCUGGCGGAUCAGUGGCGAACGGGUGAGUAACACGUGAGUAACCUGCCCCCGACUCUGGGAUAACUGCUAGAAAUGGUAGCUAAUACCGGAUAUGACGAUUGGCCGCAUGGUCUGGUCGUGGAAAGAAUUUCGGUUGGGGAUGGACUCGCGGCCUAUCAGGUUGUUGGUGAGGUAAUGGCUCACCAAGCCUACGACGGGUAGCCGGCCUGAGAGGGUGACCGGCCACACUGGGACGAGACACGGCCCAGACUCCUACGGGAGGCAGCAGUGGGGAAUAUUGCACAAUGGGCGAAAGCCUGAUGCAGCAACGCCGCGUGAGGGAUGACGGCCUUCGGGUUGUAAACCUCUUUUAGUAGGGAAGAAGCGAAAGUGACGGUACCUGCAGAAAAAGCACCGGCUAACUACGUGCCAGCAGCCGCGGUAAUACGUAGGGUGCAAGCGUUGUCCGGAAUUAUUGGGCGUAAAGAGCUCGUAGGCGGUUUGUCGCGUCUGCUGUGAAAUCCCGAGGCUCAACCUCGGGUCUGCAGUGGGUACGGGCAGACUAGAGUGCGGUAGGGGAGAUUGGAAUUCCUGGUGUAGCGGUGGAAUGCGCAGAUAUCAGGAGGAACACCGAUGGCGAAGGCAGAUCUCUGGGCCGUAACUGACGCUGAGGAGCGAAAGCAUGGGGAGCGAACAGGAUUAGAUACCCUGGUAGUCCAUGCCGUAAACGUUGGGAACUAGAUGUGGGGACCAUUCCACGGUCUCCGUGUCGCAGCUAACGCAUUAAGUUCCCCGCCUGGGGAGUACGGCCGCAAGGCUAAAACUCAAAGGAAUUGACGGGGGCCCGCACAAGCGGCGGAGCAUGCGGAUUAAUUCGAUGCAACGCGAAGAACCUUACCAAGGCUUGACAUAUACCGGAAACAUGCAGAAAUGUGUGCCCCGCAAGGUCGGUAUACAGGUGGUGCAUGGUUGUCGUCAGCUCGUGUCGUGAGAUGUUGGGUUAAGUCCCGCAACGAGCGCAACCCUCGUUCUAUGUUGCCAGCACGUAAUGGUGGGAACUCAUAGGAGACUGCCGGGGUCAACUCGGAGGAAGGUGGGGAUGACGUCAAAUCAUCAUGCCCCUUAUGUCUUGGGCUUCACGCAUGCUACAAUGGCCGGUACAAAGGGCUGCGAUACCGUAAGGUGGAGCGAAUCCCAAAAAGCCGGUCUCAGUUCGGAUUGAGGUCUGCAACUCGACCUCAUGAAGUCGGAGUCGCUAGUAAUCGCAGAUCAGCAACGCUGCGGUGAAUACGUUCCCGGGCCUUGUACACACCGCCCGUCAAGUCAUGAAAGUCGGUAACACCCGAAGCCAGUGGCCUAACCGCAAGGGAGGAGCUGUCGAAGGUGGGAUCGGUGAUUAGGACUA
rnacentral:rRNA from 1 species